rnacentral:sRNA from 1 species
UUUUUUCUUUCUUGGUUUUGGAUGUGUGAAGAGAAUGUGUGUCAUCUCUGCAGCUCCUAAAUGUCGUGUAGUCUUCAUAAGGGUGAAUAUAAACUGCAAGAAGUCUUCAAGUACAUCAGGUGGCUCUUUGGUUAGGUUAAGUUUGUCAACUAGAUCGUCAGUUGGUUCUUCAGGAAGUCUGUCAGAAAGUCCUUCAGCCGGUUCAUCAGCAAGUCUAUCAGGUGGUCAGUCAGUGAGUCCAUCAGCUACAAUGUCAGCUUCCAUUCUUAUAUCACCCCCU